AUUGAACGCUGGCGGCAGGCCUAACACAUGCAAGUCGAACGAGUGGCGGACGGGUGAGUAAUGUCUGGGAAACUGCCUGAUGGAGGGGGAUAACUACUGGAAACGGUAGCUAAUACCGCAUACCAUCGGAUGUGCCCAGAUGGGAUUAGCUAGUAGGUGGGGUAAAGGCUCACCUAGGCGACGAUCCCUAGCUGGUCUGAGAGGAUGACCAGCCACUCUGAAAGGGAGACACGGGGCAGACCCUUACGGGAGGCAGCAGUGGGGAAGAUUGCACAAGGGGCGCAAGCCGGAUGCAGCCACGCCGCGGGAAUGAAGAAGGGCAUCGGGUUGCAUAGUACGCCAGGCGCGAAGGCGUCACCAGAAGCAGAAGCAACGGCUAACUCCGUGCCAGCAGCCGCGGUAAUAC
rnacentral:rRNA from 1 species